CCGCCGGCGGGGACCGGCUAUCCGAGGUAUCCGAGGCCAUCCGAGGCCAACCGAGCCGACCGAGGCCAACCGAGGCCAUCCGAGGCCGACCGAGGCCGACCGAGGCCGACCGAGGCCAUCCGAGGCCGACCGAGGCCGACCGAGGCCAACCGAGGCGCCGCGGGGCUGCCGUAUCGUUCCGCCUGGGCGGGAUUCUGACUUAAGAGGCGUUCAGUCAUAAUCCCACAGAUGGUAGCUUCGCCCCAUUGGCUCCUCAGCCAAUGGGAUCUGAUUUUUUAAGCAGUCACAACACUAGACUUUUAAUUGAGAAAGCUCUGUAAGCAAUUAAAAGCCGCUGUUGUUUUAAACUCUUCUUGUGUCACCUGCUGGCAAUGAG
rnacentral:lncRNA from 1 species